rnacentral:rRNA from 1 species
GGGAUAGGUUAGUGGCGCACGGGUGAGUAACACGUAGGUGACCUGCCCCGAAGAGGGGGAUAACUACUGGAAACGGUAGCUAAUACCCCAUGUGAUCGGCGAUUCGUUUCGCUGAUUAAAGCUCCGGCGCUUUGGGAGGGGCCUGCGGCCGAUUAGCUAGUUGGUGGGGUAAUGGCUCACCAAGGCGAUAAUCGGUAGCUGGUCUGAGAGGACGAUCAGCCACACUGGCACUGACACACGGGCCAGACUCCUACGGGAGGCAGCAGUGAGGAAUAUUGCCCAAUGGACGAAAGUCUGAGGCAGCAACGCCGCGUGCGCGAUGAAGGCCUUCGGGUUGUAAAGCCCUUUUCUGGGGGAAGAGGAAGGACGGUACCUCAGGAAUAAGUCUCGGCUAACUACGUGCCAGCAGCCGCGGUAAAACGUAGGAGGCAAGCGUUAUCCGGAUUUACUGGGCGUAAAGCGCGCGCAGGCGGUUCCGUAAGUUGGACGUGAAAUCUCCCGGCUCAACCGGGAGGGGUCGCCCAAUACUGCGGGACUUGAGGUCGGGAGAGGGAAGUGGAAUUCCUGGUGUAGUGGUGGAAUGCGUAGAUAUCGGGAGGAACACCAGUGGCGAAGGCGGCUCUCUGGACCAUACCUGACGCUGAGGUGCGAAAGCGUGGGGAGCGAACAGGAUUAGAUACCCUGGUAGUCCACGCCGUAAACGAUGGGUACUAGGUGUUGGGGGUAUCGACCCCCUCAGUGCCGAAGCUAACGCGAUAAGUACUCCGCCUGGGGAGUACGGCCGCAAGGUUAAAACUCAAAGGAAUUGACGGGGGCCCGCACAAGCAGCGGAGCGUGUGGUUUAAUUCGACGAAACGCGAAGAACCUUACCUGGGCUUGACAUGCUGGUAGUAGUGAAGCGAAAGUGGAACGACCCUUCGGGGAGCAUGCACAGGUGUUGCACGGCCGUCGUCAGCUCGUGCCGUGAGGUGUUGGGUUAAGUCCUGUAACGAGCGCAACCCUCGUCGUCAGUUAUAUGUGUCUGGCGAGACUGCCGGUCAAAAACCGGAGGAAGGCGGGGAUGACGUCAAGUCAGCAUGGCCUCUAUGUCCGGGGCUACACACACGCUACAAUGGCCGGUACAAUGGGUAGCCAAGCCGCGAGGCGGAGCCAAUCCUCCAAAGCCGGUCUCAGUUCGGAUUGUAGGCUGCAACUCGCCUGCAUGAAGCUGGAGUUGCUAGUAACCGCGCGUCAGCCAUAGUGCGGUGAAUACGUUCCCGGGCCUUGUACACACCGCCCGUCACGUCAUGGGAGCCGGUAACACCUGAAGCCGGUGGGCUAACCCCCGAGCUUUGCGAAGGGGAGGCAGCUGUCGAAGGUGGGAUUGGUGACUGGGACGAAGUCGUAACAAGGUAACC